rnacentral:lncRNA from 1 species
CCCCUCACUCGAUUUUUCGCGUAGGUUCCAUUUCCGGAGUUAGUUUUUACAAAAGAUGAUCUGAAAGUGGCCAAAAAGUCAAAAUACAGUCCAGUUUUUAUUUUUUAAAACACCCAAAUCUUUCACCAAAAAUCAUAAAAAAUAUAUUACAAUGCUCCUUAUAACCUCUAUAAUACAACUAUGAUUUUAAUUUGACAAGAAAACAACAUAAAGAGACUAGAAUAAAGCAAAACAGCCCCUAAAAUUCAUUUUUUCCAUUUUGGCAUUUUCACAAACACUUGACAUGCAUUCAUAGGCCCGUUUCUUUUUUCUUAGUUAUGUGCAUGAAUUGUCCCAAAAAUUAGCAACCCAACAACCAAGGAAACCAGCAAAAGCAAAAGAAAAUUAAACAAUGAAGCAUGGAUUUAAUGUGCUAAACAAAACUAAAAAUUACCUCAAUGUAGGUGGCAAUCGCUUGGUUGAAGUUUCUGAUGCAAAGCUCCAAUUAUCCAACUGGUUGCUGCCUUGUUGUGUGCAAAAUGUGUUGGAAAAAUAUUGGGAGAGAUGAGAGCCGAGAGAAGGAGAGGCGUUAUUCUUUUUUUUUUCUUUUUUUUCGGUUGAGAGACCAGAGAAAGAGCCGAGGGAAUUUUUUUUCUUGUCUGUUUUUGUUUCUUGUCUGUUAAGAGCUAGCCGAGAGAGGGAGGGAAAAUUUUUUCCUUUCUUCCUUCUUCUGUCCUGGAGAAAGCCGAGAGAUGUCUUGUAGCCAAAAUGGAGCUUGUGUGCUGAAUCUUCCAAAAUGAUGAUUUCUCAAUUAAUGAAAAGACAAGUCCAUGGCCAUUGAGUGUGAAAAUGGGUUAAUAGUUAAUUUGGUGAAACAAAAUGAUUUUUUGAUUUUUUUUUAUUUUUGUUGUUUUGUUUUUUUUUUUUCUCUUUUCGUAAAGCAAACCUGCAAAAAAUGAGAAAAUGUACAUUAAAAUACAAGAAAAUAAAUAACUUAUUAAAUAGAAAAAUCCUGGGAAAAUAUUAAAAAUUGACAAAAAUUUGGUGUCUACAGCUUGCCC